rnacentral:rRNA from 1 species
UGAGGAAUCUUGCGCAAUGGGGGCAACCCUGACGCAGCAACGCCGCGUGAGUGAGGAAGGUCUUCGGAUCGUAAAGCUCUGUCAGUUGGGAAGAAACGCUUGAGGGUUAACAGCCCUUUUGCUUGACGGUACCAACAGAGGAAGCACCGGCUAACUCCGUGCCAGCAGCCGCGGUAAUACGGAGGGUGCAAGCGUUGUUCGGAAUUAUUGGGCGUAAAGAGCGUGUAGGCGGCCUGAUAUGUCAGAUGUGAAAGCCCUGGGCUCAACCCAGGAAGUGCAUUUGAAACUGUCAGGCUCGAGUAGGGGAGAGGGAAGUGGAAUUCCUGGUGUAGAGGUGAAAUUCGUAGAUAUCAGGAGGAACACCGGUGGCGAAGGCGACUUCCUGGCCCUAUACUGACGC